GGUUCGAUUCUGGCUCAGAUUGAACGCUGGCGGGAUGUACUUUACAUGCAAGUCAGGCAGCACGGACUUCCGGUCUGGUGGCGAGUGGCGAACGGGUGAGUAAUGUAUCGGAACGUGCCUAGUAGCGGGGAUAACUACGCGAAAGCGUAGCUAAUGCCUGCAUACGCCCUUCGGGGAAAGCGGGGGACCUUCGGGCCUCGCACUAUUAAACGGCCGAUAUCAAGUUUAGCUAGUUGGUGGGGUAACGGCUCACCAGGCGACGAUCCAUAGCUGGUUUGAGAGGACGACCAGCCACACUGGGACUGAGACACGGCCCAGACUCCUACGGGAGCAGCAGUGGGAAAUUUUGGACAAUGGGGGAAACCCUGAUCCAGCCAUCCCGCGUGUGCGAUGAAGGCCUUCGGGUUGUAAAGCACUUUGGCAGGAAAGAAACGGCACGGGAUAAUACCCCGUGCAACUGACAGUACCUGCAGAAUAAGCACCGGCUAACUACGUGCCAGCAGCCGCGGUAAUACGUAGGGUGCAAGCGUUAAUCGGAAUUACUGGGCGUAAAGCGUGCGCAGGCGGUUCGGAAGAAAGAUGUGAAAUCCCAGAGCUUAACUUUGGAACUGCAUUUUUAACUACCGAGCUAGAGUGUGUCAGGGAGGUGGAAUUCCGCGUGUAGCAGUGAAAUGCGUAGAUAUGCGGAGGAACACCGAUGGCGAAGGCAGCCUCCUGGGAUAACACUGACGCUCAUGCACGAAAGCGUGGGGAGCAAACAGGAUUAGAUACCUGGUAGUCCACGCCUAAACGAUGUCAACUAGCUGUUGGGGCCUUCGGGCCUUGGUAGCGCAGCUAACGCGUGAAGUUGACCGCCUGGGGAAGUACCCAAUUCGCAAGAUUAAAACUCAAAGGAAUUGACGAGGGACCCGCACAAGCGGUGGAUGAUGUGGAUUAAUUCGAUGCAACGCGAAAAACCUUACCUACCCUUGACAUGUCUGGAAUCCCGAAGAGAUUUACAGUGCUCGCAAGAGAACAAGACACAGGUGCUGCAUGGCUGUCGUCAGUUCGUGUCGUGAGAUGUUGGGUUAAGUCCGCAACGGCGCAACCCUUGUCAUUAAGUUACUACGAAAGGGCACUCUAAUGAGACUGCCGGUGACAAACCGGAGGAAGGUGGGGAUGACGUCAAGUCCUCAUGGCCCUUAUGGGUAGGGCUUCACACGUCAUACAAUGGUCGGGACAGAGGGUCGCCAACCCGCGAGGAGCGUCCCAGAAACCCGAUCGUAGUCCGGAUCGCAGUCUGCAACUCGACUGCGUGAAGUCGGAAUCGCUAGUAAUCGCGGAUCAGCAUGUCGCGGUGAAUACGUUCCCGGGUCUUGUACACACCGUCCGUCACACCAUGGGAGUGGGUUUACCAGAAGUAGUUAGCCUAACCGUAAGGAGGGCGAUUACACGGUAAGUUCAUGACUGGGGUGAAGUCGUAACAAAGGUAA
rnacentral:rRNA from 1 species